GUCAAGUCAUCAUGCCCCUUAUGCCCUGGGCUGCAAACAUGCUACAAUGGCCGGUACAGCGGGAUGCGAUCCCGUGAGGGGGAGCGGAUCCCUAAAAGCCGGUCUCAGUUCGGAUCGGGGUCUGCAACUCGACCCCGUGAAGCCGGAGUCGCUAGUAAUCGCGGAUCAGCAAUGCCGCGGUGAAUACGUUCCCGGGCCUU
rnacentral:rRNA from 1 species